UUCGAUAUUUUUGUUAAGAGUUUGUUUUUGAUAUUGAAUUUUUCCGAAAAAAUGGCGUUUAUCAGAGUGUUGAAAUUUCUUUUCGUUUUUAUUUUCAUUUUAUUUUCCGAGUGGAUGACUUUCGAAAUUCUCAAAAGUGAAUUUUAUAGUUUACUUCGUUAAUUCGGUUUAAUUAUAGUUAAUCCCACGAAACAUCUUACGAUGAUGACCAUCAAAGUUAUACAGAAUCAAAGAUUUCGAACAUCUUUCGAAGUAAGUCAGAGGAGACUAAGGAAAAUGAUUGGGAAAUGCCCAAAAGUAUGACCAAAGUGUUUGAAAAAGAUAGCAGAGCAAAAUUCAGGAAGAUGAUAGGAAUCAGUUUUCAUUGCAAGAAGGUAGAAUCUUUUUGGUCGAAGUUAAUUAGAAGAUUUCGUAGAGUACAGAGAACUUUAAAAUGCAGUCUCCUGUGGGUGGAUUGUACCGAAAAACCUAAAUCUAUAAAAGAAAUAUUUAUAAAAGCGGCUUGUCAGAAAGUGAAGCCAAUAGUAAAAGCCACUAAAAAAUUUUUAAGAAAACUUCUUCCCUGUGAAAAUGAAUAUUAAAAUAUCGUGAAUCGAUAUUUUUUAAAAAAAUUAAUGUUAUCUUUUAAGUAUUAAAAUCGAUA